rnacentral:rRNA from 1 species
AAUGGGGGCAACCCUGAUCCAGCCAUGCCGCGUGAGUGAAGAAGGCCUUCGGGUUGUAAAGCUCUUUCGGCCGGGAAGAAAUCGCAUGGGUGAAUACCCUGUGUGGAUGACGGUACCGGAACAAGAAGCACCGGCUAACUACGUGCCAGCAGCCGCGGUAAUACGUAGGGUGCGAGCGUUAAUCGGAAUUACUGGGCGUAAAGCGUGCGCAGGCGGCUUUGUAAGACAGAUGUGAAAUCCGCGGGCUUAACCUGGGAACUGCGUUUGUGACUGCAAGGCUUGAGUGCGGCAGAGGGGGGUGGAAUUCCACGUGUAGCAGUGAAAUGCGUAGGGAUGUGGAGGAACACCGAUGGCGAAGGCAGCCCCCUGGGCCGAUACUGACGCUCAUGCACGAAAGCGUGGGUAGCAAA